rnacentral:lncRNA from 10 species
UAUACGUAUAUACAUACAGUUGACCCUUGAGCAAAGGAGGGAUUAGGGGCACUGAUUCCUCUUGCAGUCAAAAAUCCACUUCUAGCUUUUGACUCCCUAAAAACUGAACUAAUAAUAAAGUACUGCUGACUGCCUUACCAGUAAAAUAAAUAGUUGAUAACAUGUAUUUUGUAUAUCUAUUAUAUACUGUAUUCUCACAAUAAACUAGAGAAAAGGAAAUGUUAUUAGAAGAUCAUAAGCAGGAGAAAACAUAUUUACCCUUCAUUAAAAGGAAGUGGAUCAUCAUCAAGGUUUUCAUUAUAAUCAUUUUCACAUUGAGGACCUGAGAAGGAGGGAUGGCAGAGUCAAAAAGGUGGAGGAGGUGGAAGGGGAGGCAGGAGAGGAAGGCACACUCAAUGUAUCUUUUAUUGAAACAAAAGUCUGUGUAUAAGCGGACCCUCACAGUUCAAACCCAUGUUGUUCAAGGGUCAACUACAUAUAUAUGCACACACAUACACAUAUAUGUAUGUAUGUAUAUCCACUAAUAUCUAUCUCACAGUUUCUUUAUUCGUUAUUCCAUCAACAGACAUUUUGGUUAUUUCUACAUCAGAACACGAGAAGGCAGAUAUUUUUCUAAAAUGGUAAUUUCAUUUCCUUUGGGAUUGACCAGAAGAGGAAUUGCUGAGUCAUAAGGUAGUACUAUUUUUAAUUUCUUUGGAAACCUCCAUACUGUUCUUCAUAAUGUCUAAACCAAUUUACAUCUUUUUACAUCUAUGUCAAAGUAAUAUGUAAAAAAAAAUACAUUCUUCUUAAUGUUUUUGGUUAGCUUUUCUUUGAUACUAGUGAGGCUAAUUUUUUUGCAUGUUUAUUUCUAUAUAUUAUUAAUGUUUAAUUUUCAUUGAGAGAUCAUUUACAUAUGAUAAAAUGGCUUCAUCUUCAGUAUAUGUUUUUUUCAAUAUACAUUUUUAAUCUGAUGUGAUAUGUGAUGAUGUGGUAUAAUUGAAUUUAAGUAAAUCUAGCGUAGAUUUUGGAUCUUUGAAGGCAGCAGAUCUUUG